rnacentral:rRNA from 1 species
CCUACGGGUGGCAGCAGUGGGGAAUAUUGGACAAUGGGGGGAACCCUGAUCCAGCCAUGCCGCGUGUGUGAAGAAGGCCCUCGGGUUGUAAAGCACUUUCAGUGAGGAAGAACGCCUGGUGGUUAAUACCCAUCAGGAAAGACAUCACUCACAGAAGAAGCACCGGCUAACUCCGUGCCAGCAGCCGCGGUAAUACGGAGGGUGCGAGCGUUAAUCGGAAUUACUGGGCGUAAAGCGCGCGUAGGUGGCUUGAUAAGCCGGUUGUGAAAGCCCCGGGCUCAACCUGGGAACGGCAUCCGGAACUGUCAAGCUAGAGUGCAGGAGAGGAAGGUAGAAUUCCCGGUGUAGCGGUGAAAUGCGUAGAGAUCGGGAGGAAUACCAGUGGCGAAGGCGGCCUUCUGGACUGACACUGACACUGAGGUGCGAAAGCGUGGGUAGCAAACAGGAUUAGAUAUCCCAGUAGUC